rnacentral:tRNA from 1 species
GCCGGGGUGGCGGAACUGGUAGACGCAGGGGACUCAAAAUCCCCCGUCCUCCGGGACAUAAGGGUUCAAUUCCCUUCCCCGGCA